rnacentral:lncRNA from 1 species
UGGAGGAACAAAAGUGGGUGGUGUAACAGAGCCUGAGAUCUGAGUGGACCCAGUGGAAGGUAAACCACAGUGGGUCUUCCGGUAGAAGGUGAGAUCAUUAGGGGAGGGACUAUCCAGCAGGACCCAGACGCAUGGACCUGGAGCCGAGGAGGAAAAGUACCCACCACUGGGGAUACCACCUGUAGGAGUAAGGAAAAAGAAGAGGGAAGAGAGGAACCUAUAAAGGAAGGCCAGUGUAAAACUCAGUCUUUGGCUUCUGAUGAGUCUACCAUGAUACUGACAACCUACCAGCUGAAGAGAAGUCUCUACAUGGACUGUGCAAAAGAGAUUCAGAGGCGUCUACUGAAUUUCAACCAUAAAUUGUCUAGUAUAAAGGAAGAUAAGUGUCCCUGCUGAAGAAGAAUGGAAACAUAAUGGAAUCAAUUCGGUGUGUCUGUGGAAAGAACUUAUUUCUCCAUUCCCCCAGGAUCCAGGCAAGUGGCAAUUCUCUUAUCUAUGCUAAAUAGUCGAAGGCAUCCUCACCACUUACUCAGAAUAAUCCUUUUUUAAUAGCAGAGAAGUCUCAUCCAGAAAAGUGUUGUAAGAAAAUAUAUUGUGGGAGCCAGGAUUCUCUUCGGGGCAUAGAGAAUUUUGUAACAGUGAAGGGAAUUUUAUCAUCUUUCUCUUGAAAACAAUUCCUUUACUGUCUCUUGGGCAUAUUGAUGACCACAUAAUAGUUAUAAAGUUCCCUAUUUCCUUUCCAAAAGGGAAAAUGGGAUAAUCAGUAGAAGAUAGGGGAUGACAAAAAGACACAUAGGUGGCCUCCUUUGAUAUGAUGGGCCGGUUAAAGGGUAAAUUGUUGUGGGGUAUUAAACACCACCAUCCAUGAUGAGGAGAAUUAACAAGGGAAUUCCCAUGCAGUAAGAUAAUGAAGACCUGGG